GGGCCGGUCGUUCAGCCUGGUAGGAUGCGCGCAUGGCAUGCGUGAGGUCAAGGGUUCAAAUCCCUUCCGGUCCA
rnacentral:tRNA from 1 species